CUUGUUCGGAGAACAAAGGCAUCAGGUUAGACAGCUACAGGGCUAGGGCCAGGAAUGUAGGGCCGCAGAUCAUAGACUGUACUGUUCGAUGUGCAUGCUCCCAGAGCUUGCCGUCCCCAAGCUUGCUGCCGGAGCAAAACUUUGCAAUCUAAAGAAUCAGACCCAACACGCUGCUUUGCAAGGUGUUGGGCCAUAAUUGCACAGAUUGCUGGGGGCGGCAUAGGUCAGCAUCAAUUCUUUCCUUUUUAUCCCAGAAGCCACUGUGGUCCCAGUGAACUUCGUGACCUGUGAGUCAGCCUGGGGAAAAUGAAAGAUGUUGUAGCUUUCUGGGAUGUUAUUUUAAGUGAUGGAGUCCACAAGAUUGAAUUUGAACAUGGGACUACUUCAGGAAAACGAGUUGUAUAUGUGGAUGGGAAGGAAGUGAUAAGAAAAGAGUGGAUGUUCCAGUUAGUGGGCAAAGAAACCUUCUGUGUUGGAGCUCCAGAAACCAAAGCCACCAUAAGUAUACUUUGUGGGAAAGGUUAUGUUUUUAACUAUAUUCUGGAAAUUGAGGGGAAAAGCUUCAGGAAAUUCAUGGAGAACAGAUCUAAAACUACCAACACCUGGGUGCUGCACUUGGAUGACAAGGACUUUAGAAUCGUUUUGGAAAGAAACACUAUGGAUGUAUGGUGUAAUGGUAAAAUAGUAGAGACAGUGUUAAUCAAGACUGUUAAGCCAAGGAUGGAGGCUCAUGUCCGCAAUUCCAACAUUGGGUUGGGAGAACACUGGAGUACUUGAAGCAGGAGGAUUACUGCCUGGGCUGCAGACUAAGAAUAAGACUUUUUCAAAAGAGCCGAAGGAAGGAGUUAUAAUUUAACGUGCAAUCAACAGAGGACGUUAAGAGGCGAGUUUGUAGAUGACGGGACUGAGACACACUUCAGCGUUGGGAACCACGGCUGUUACAUAAAAGCCGUCAGCAGCGGGAAGAGGAGAGAAGGGCUCAUC